rnacentral:rRNA from 1 species
GAUUAGUGGCGAACGGGUGAGUAACACGUGAGUAACCUGCCCUUGACUCUGGGAUAAGCCUGGGAAACUGGGUCUAAUACCGGAUACGACCAUCUGACGCAUGUCAUGGUGGUGGAAAGCUUUUGUGGUUUUGGAUGGACUCGCGGCCUAUCAGCUUGUUGGUGGGGUAAUGGCCUACCAAGGCGACGACGGGUAGCCGGCCUGAGAGGGUGACCGGCCACACUGGGACUGAGACACGGCCCAGACUCCUACGGGAGGCAGCAGUGGGGAAUAUUGCACAAUGGGCGAAAGCCUGAUGCAGCGACGCCGCGUGAGGGAUGACGGCCUUCGGGUUGUAAACCUCUUUCAGUAGGGAAGAAGCGAAAGUGACGGUACCUGCAGAAGAAGCGCCGGCUAACUACGUGCCAGCAGCCGCGGUAAUACGUAGGGCGCAAGCGUUAUCCGGAAUUAUUGGGCGUAAAGAGCUCGUAGGCGGUUUGUCGCGUCUGCUGUGAAAGACCGGGGCUCAACUCCGGUUCUGCAGUGGGUACGGGCAGACUAGAGUGCAGUAGGGGAGACUGGAAUUCCUGGUGUAGCGGUGAAAUGCGCAGAUAUCAGGAGGAACACCGAUGGCGAAGGCAGGUCUCUGGGCUGUAACUGACGCUGAGGAGCGAAAGCAUGGGGAGCGAACAGGAUUAGAUACCCUGGUAGUCCAUGCCGUAAACGUUGGGCACUAGGUGUGGGGGACAUUCCACGUUUUCCGCGCCGUAGCUAACGCAUUAAGUGCCCCGCCUGGGGAGUACGGCCGCAAGGCUAAAACUCAAAGGAAUUGACGGGGGCCCGCACAAGCGGCGGAGCAUGCGGAUUAAUUCGAUGCAACGCGAAGAACCUUACCAAGGCUUGACAUGAACCGGAAAGACCUGGAAACAGGUGCCCCGCUUGCGGUCGGUUUACAGGUGGUGCAUGGUUGUCGUCAGCUCGUGUCGUGAGAUGUUGGGUUAAGUCCCGCAACGAGCGCAACCCUCGUUCUAUGUUGCCAGCGCGUUAUGGCGGGGACUCAUAGGAGACUGCCGGGGUCAACUCGGAGGAAGGUGGGGACGACGUCAAAUCAUCAUGCCCCUUAUGUCUUGGGCUUCACGCAUGCUACAAUGGCCGGUACAAAGGGUUGCGAUACUGUGAGGUGGAGCUAAUCCCAAAAAGCCGGUCUCAGUUCGGAUUGGGGUCUGCAACUCGACCCCAUGAAGUCGGAGUCGCUAGUAAUCGCAGAUCAGCAACGCUGCGGUGAAUACGUUCCCGGGCCUUGUACACACCGCCCGUCAAGUCACGAAAGUUGGUAAC